UUACUCUGGUUUCUCUUCAUAACGCACAAGUCUUUCGCCUUUUACUAAAGACUUCCGUGGAGAGUGACUCCAACGAGUUUAGCCUAUUUUUGGCAGGCUUUGCUCUCUGGCAGGGCCG
rnacentral:snRNA from 1 species